GACACCAGUAUGCCAUUUGGUGAACAGUUUUGGAAGUGGAUUUCAGAAUCUUCAUCGUGGAAGGGAAUUACACCUGUUAUAGUCCUAACGGCAGAUGACUUAGCAGGAUUGCUGAGACCUGUGCAAUACUAGAUGCAUCGUGGACUAACCAGAACCUUCACUUUUAUUUAAGCUGACCAGUCAUGGACUCUGAAUGGAAAGGAUGCCCUCAUUUCACAAAAGCCCAGAUCCUGCUGGGACAGUGGAUUUCCCAGCUCUGGAAUCCCCUCGUCCCAGAGGUCUGUUCUCUCUGCUCUCUUUUCCUCUUACUUUGAAAUAAACUUUAUUGUUUUAAGUA